GUGAGAAAAAAAAAUUACUUCUACAAUUUCAGAAUGGUGGUGAAUGCUAAAAUAACAAUGGCACAGAGAGGAGGAAGAAGACUCUCCCCAUAGACAGUGAUGUGUGUGUAGUGUUUGCCAAUAUUAGCCACUGUAACAUUAGCCACCGCAAGCACUGAUCCAACCAGCGCAAUAAAGGCUGCAGCUGAAAAAGCCCUGAGUGGAUUGAAAUGGCCAUGGAUGCAUUUUAUUGCUUAUGAAUUGAACUUCUCGUUUGAGAGAAGAAAAAAAGGAGAGCGGUGAUGUUUCGCAUUACAAAAGCUCGUUUUAAUGCAUUCUUCUCUUUCUUCUUCAAACCACAUUUAUACCUUGAAUUAAAUUUUUUUUUUUGUGACUGCAAAUUCCAUUGACUGUGGAAGAGUGCGUGAUCAAAAGCUGCAGAGCGGUUUAUGAAGAGACCUUGACCCUCAUCUUGAGUAUAAAGGACUUCCAUAUUGUGAUCUCGGACCAACAUGUGCUUUUCCAAGAAGCUGCUAACAAUACGUAGAGAUGUUUUCUAUUGUGUCACCUGUCCACCUUAUGUGCAUGCAGCAACAUGCAAUCAGAACACAAGAGGUAAACAAAUGCAGUGCAUAAAGGUAUGAGGAAAACUGAGAGAACAUUUGUUGAUUGUGUUGAAUUAAAAAAAACAAGUCAUCUACACACAA